rnacentral:rRNA from 1 species
UGGGGAAUAUUGGACAAUGGGGGCAACCCUGAUCCAGCCAUGCCGCGUGAGUGAUGAAGGCCUUCGGGUUGUAAAGCUCUUUUGGCGGGGACGAUGAUGACGGUACCCGCAGAAUAAGCCCCGGCUAACUUCGUGCCAGCAGCCGCGGUAAGACGAGGGGGCAAGCGUUGUUCGGAAUUACUGGGCGUAAAGGGCGCGUAGGCGGUUUGCUUAGUCAGGCGUGAAAGCCCUGGGCUUAACCUGGGAUGUGCGCUUGAUACUGGCAGGCUUGAGUGUGGGAGAGGUUGGUGGAAUUCCCAGUGUAGAGGUGAAAUUCGUAGAUAUUGGGAAGAACACCGGUGGCGAAGGCGGCCAACUGGACCACAACUGACGCUGAGGCGCGAAAGCGUGGGGAGCAAACA